AGAUGAACCGCCUCUUAAACCACCUAAUUCUACCUCUAACACAAGAUUACAAAGCUAUUCCUAGGCAUCUGAGACAUACUAAUUGAGAGUGACAAAUAAAGACCGGGCCAUUGAUUCCAUAAGAUAUGAGUGUAGUGCAUGAUCAAUCGCGUUAACACCUUAAAGGCGCAUACUCUCAAUUAGAAGAACCGAGUGACCAGGAACAUGUAGCUUUGCAACCUUGUCGGGGAGUCGAAACCUGAAACGUCCGCACAUCCCCAAAAAGUCGACUUGAAACUUCUGCAACACUUGUAGUCCAGCAC
rnacentral:lncRNA from 1 species